rnacentral:lncRNA from 1 species
AGAUCGAUCUUGGUCCUUUAGCUUCUGGCUUUUCUGGUUUUUCUCUUCAACUUCACGUGGUUACGAUUACUCUUUAUUGGUUCGAUUAGGGUUCACCUAUCGGUGUAAGGUUGGGGUUCAUCAGUUGGUCUUAAUCUUUCUAGCCUAUUGGUUGUUUUGGUUGGGUUUUGCUCACUUUUUAGGUUUGUGUGCUUUAACUUGUUAUAGUUUUUGGGUUUCUCGAGUUUCCUAUCAGUCUUGCUUUUUUUUUUUUUUACUUUUUGUGGAGCCUUUGUAUUUGGUUGUUUCAUGUUCUUCCCUUUCCAUCCCUCUAUAAGCCUAAAGUUAGGUUUUUUUCUGCUAUUAAAAAGAGGAUUCUAAGUUAGAAUUGCAGGGGUAUUGAGCAACAAAUUACCAUUCAAGAUUUAAGAGAAUUAAAUAGAAAAUAUAAACCUCAAAUCAUAUUUCUC